AGUGAACGCUGGCGGCGUGCUUAACACAUGCAAGUCGAACGAGAACGGAUCUAGCUUGCUAGAUUGUCAGCUAAGUGGCGCACGGGUGAGUAAUGUAUAGGUAAUAUGCCUUCUACUAAGGAAUAACAAUUGGAAACGAUUGCUAAUGCCUUAUAUGCCUUUUAAUCAUAAGAUUGUAAAGGGAAAGAUUUAUUGGUAGAAGAUUGGCCUGUAUGGUAUCAGUUAGUUGGCAGGGUAAUGGCCUACCAAGACAAUGACGCCUAACUGGUUUGAGAGGAUGAUCAGUCACACUGGAACUGAGACACGGUCCAGACUCCUACGGGAGGCAGCAGUGGGGAAUAUUGCACAAUGGACGAAAGUCUGAUGCAGCAACGCCGCGUGGAGGAUGACACAUUUCGGUGCGUAAACUCCUUUUAUAUAGGAAGAUAAUGACGGUACUAUAUGAAUAAGCACCGGCUAACUCCGUGCCAGCAGCCGCGGUAAUACGGAGGGUGCAAGCGUUACUCGGAAUCACUGGGCGUAAAGAGCGUGUAGGCGGAUUGAUAAGUCAGAAGUGAAAUCCUAUAGCUUAACUAUAGAACUGCUUUUGAAACUGUUGAUCUAGAAUGUGGGAGAGGUAGAUGGAAUUUCUGGUGUAGGGGUAAAAUCCGUAGAGAUCAGAAGGAAUACCGAUUGCGAAGGCGAUCUACUGGAACAAUAUUGACGCUGAGACGCGAAAGCGUGGGGAGCAAACAGG
rnacentral:rRNA from 1 species